CCCUGAAGGUGAAGCAGGAAAUAGGUUCCAGGAUGAUUUUAGCACUAUGUUCUUGGCAAGGGCAAUUGGAGUCCGGGGAAUGGAGCAGUCUGCCUAGACAUGGGCAGCUGCAAAAGCUUCUUGGAUGAGUCCCUAGAGAGAACAGUAGCGUGACAGAUCUGAACCCACUCACCGAAACCCCCUGCCGGGUUGCAGCUGGCUCCCUGGUCCAGCAGAAGCCCUUCCUCACCAUCUGUGCAGCAUGAAACCAUCUCUCCCGCUUAACCAGGGAGACUUCCUGAGCCUGUCACUCAGCCUUCACUAUAACCUGCCACUAAUCGCAUUUACAACUUCUACUGUUUACAUGCUGGGAAUCAAGCACAAAGCUUUGCACAUCCUAGGCAAGUGUUCUGCUACUGAGCUACGUCCCCAGCGCUGACCACCUAUUUUUUUGUAUGCAAGAGAAGUAUAAAGCUCUGAAGAAAAUCCUCUUUGUGUCACAUCACUCCACAGGCCCUCGUUGUACACAG